rnacentral:lncRNA from 1 species
GGAGAAAUGAUGGUGAAAGUGAGGAAAAUGCUUUUUGUGGUCGAGAAUAAUCGUUUUGAAAUUGAUCAGAAUUUUCAGAUGGAUUUUUCAGCUCAACCUGAAACAUCAAUUGGAAAUAUAUUCUCAGCCAGAGACAAAGGCACAACAUACACUGUGACCUUCUGUGGAAAGGAAGAGGCAGAAGAAUUUGCGAAAACACAACAUGGUAAAUCAUUCUGCAUUGAAGUUCUGGAAGGCGAACACAAAGGAAAGUUUGGGUAUGCCUUCAGGAGAGAGUGAAGAGGAGUUUGAUCCCAACUGGAUGUAGACCAUUCUGCUUUGGAACCUUAAUUUUUCUAUCAGCUGUCUUUCUGUGAUGACAUUCACAAGCUUUAAGCUUUAAAACCUGGUCAGACACUUGAUUGAUUGAUAAAGCAAAAUCGUGUUUUAAUCAAAAGCAUUUCGUUUCUUCUUUUCUGAAGGAAACAUAGAUGAUUAGCUUUAGUAGUGCAGUGUGGCAAGCCUGAUGUUUGCUAGUUACAGUAGAUCCCAUAUACUUUUGAAAGAGCUAACAGUCUGAAAUAUACAAUAAUCAAUUAAUGAUCUAAACAGAAGCAAUAAAGGAGGGCAUUUGAAUCAGCACUAUCAACUGAUUCAACUAUCAACAAAUAGUUACAUCAAAUUAUCUUGAUUUGUUGUAUUUUAAAUUUAUGGCGUAGUUGCCUAGUGUAAUUCUUUUUCUCAAACAUUCUGAGAAUACAGUGGGAAAGUAUAAAAGAAAGAGUAUUAGAAUUUCUUUGGUGAAAAUAAUAUAAUUUUAAUAUUGUACAUCAAAAAUCUGCUUUGCCAAUUCACUUUCUAUUCAUUCAUACCAUGGACGUCUGGCAGAGACAAAAUCACCAACCACACCAACAGAACCAACAAGACUAAACAUGCAACAACUAAGAAGAUAAAUCUGAAAAAAAUGUGGUUCUGCUUAUAUGCAGAACUUUAAACUGAGUUAAUACUCGCUAAUCUCAUUACAACCAUUUAAAACAAAAUGGAUCCACAUAAUUCAGAUUUGUAUGGGGGAUCUUCUAAGAACUCUUACAGAAAAUGUAUUUAUACUUUAUGUUUUUUUUUCCAAGACAUAGUAAAAAUAUACUGGCGUAAAGCAUUGUGUCAUCAGGACAAAUUGUAAUCUUAUCGGAAGAGGGUGUAAUAAUGUCAGAUCAGUAUGUUUUUUAAUAAAGAGCAGAAAGUGACCUUCUGUAAGUAAAUGGCUUGUUUGCAUCACUUUCCACUGCACUACUCAUAAAAGUUCAGUGUUUUUACAUUUUAAGCAUAAUUUUAUUUUAAUCUUCUAUGCUGUAACGCUACCAAGAGUGCCUGACCCAGUUUUGUUCAAUGAUGCCUUUUUGCUUGGAUAAUUUUGCAUAAAAAUAAAGAGAAUAAAAGUUCUUUCCAUGGUUCCAUGGUUAUGGCGUCUUUCAAUUUU